GACGAACGCUGGCGGCGUGCUUAACACAUGCAAGUCGAACGGAAAGGCCCUGCUUUUGUGGGGUGCUCGAGUGGCGAACGAGUGAGUAACACGUGAGUAACCUGCCCUUGACUUUGGGAUAACUUCAGGAAACUGGGGCUAAUACCGGAUAGGAGCUCCUGCUGCAUGGUGGGGGUUGGAAAGUUUCGGCGGUUGGGGAUGGACUCGCGGCUUAUCAGCUUGUUGGUGGGGUAGUGGCUUACCAAGGCUUUGACGGGUAGCCGGCCUGAGAGGGUGACCGGCCACAUUGGGCCUGAGAUACGGCCCAGACUGCUACGGGAGGCAGCAGUGGGGAAUAUUGCACAGUGGGCGGAAGCCUGAUGCAGCAACGCCGCGUGCGGGAUGACGGCCUUCGGGUUGUAAACCGCUUUCGCCUGUGACGAAGCGUGAGUGACGGUAAUGGGUAAAGAAGCACCGGCUAACUACGUG
rnacentral:rRNA from 1 species